CGGUGCGACCCCUGUGACGCGCUGCCCUCCGUCAGCGCGAGCCCUGCGGGGAGCUCAACCAGGUGCUCUCCUUAAAGGUGUUCCGGAAGGAGCUAUAGAAAGCUACUGAUCUAUUCAGAGGAGAGAAUAAUCCCCCAGCUGUCGCGAGAGCAGCGACCUCCCGUACUUGAACCUCACACACAGUUUGCAGCCAGAUGAAGUGCUGUGCACGCAUCCUUCCUGCGUCCAGCCUGGUGGUGUGUGUGUGUGUGUGUGUGUGUGUGUGUGU